rnacentral:rRNA from 1 species
GAUUAAGUUAUUAAGGGCGCACGGUGGAUGCCUUGGCACUAGAAGCCGAUGAAGGACGUUACUAACGACGAUAUGCUUUGGGGAGCUGUAAGUAAGCUUUGAUCCAGAGAUUUCCGAAUGGGGAAACCCAGCAUGAGUUAUGUCAUGUUAUCGAUAUGUGAAUACAUAGCAUAUCAGAAGGCACACCCGGAGAACUGAAACAUCUUAGUACCCGGAGGAAGAGAAAGAAAAUUCGAUUCCCUUAGUAGCGGCGAGCGAAACGGGGAAGAGCCCAAACCAACAAGCUUGCUUGUUGGGGUUGUAGGACACUCUAUACGGAGUUACAAAGGACGACAUUAGACGAAUCAUCUGGAAAGAUGAAUCAAAGAAGGUAAUAAUCCUGUAGUCGAAAAUGUUGUCUCUCUUGAGUGGAUCCUGAGUACGACGGAGCACGUGAAAUUCCGUCGGAAUCUGGGAGGACCAUCUCCUAAGGCUAAAUACUCUCUAGUGACCGAUAGUGAACCAGUACCGUGAGGGAAAGGUGAAAAGCACCCCGGAAGGGGAGUGAAAUAGAACCUGAAACCGUGUGCUUACAAGUAGUCAGAGCCCGUUAAUGGGUGAUGGCGUGCCUUUUGUAGAAUGAACCGGCGAGUUACGAUUUGAUGCAAGGUUAAGCAGUAAAUGUGGAGCCGUAGCGAAAGCGAGUCUGAAUAGGGCGUUUAGUAUUUGGUCGUAGACCCGAAACCAGGUGAUCUACCCUUGGUCAGGUUGAAGUUCAGGUAACACUGAAUGGAGGACCGAACCGACUUACGUUGAAAAGUGAGCGGAUGAACUGAGGGUAGCGGAGAAAUUCCAAUCGAACCUGGAGAUAGCUGGUUCUCUCCGAAAUAGCUUUAGGGCUAGCCUCAAGUGAUGAUUAUUGGAGGUAGAGCACUGUUUGGACGAGGGGCCCCCUCUCGGGUUACCGAAUUCAGACAAACUCCGAAUGCCAAUUAAUUUAACUUGGGAGUCAGAACAUGGGUGAUAAGGUCCGUGUUCGAAAGGGAAACAGCCCAGACCACCAGCUAAGGUCCCAAAAUAUAUGUUAAGUGGAAAGGAUGUGGCGUUGCCCAGACAACUAGGAUGUUGGCUUAGAAGCAGCCAUCAUUUAAAGAGUGCGUAAUAGCUCACUAGUCGAGUGACACUGCGCCGAAAAUGUACCGGGGCUAAACAUAUUACCGAAGCUGUGGAUUGUCCUUUGGACAAUGGUAGGAGAGCGUUCUAAGGGCGUUGAAGCAUGAUCGUAAGGACAUGUGGAGCGCUUAGAAGUGAGAAUGCCGGUGUGAGUAGCGAAAGACGGGUGAGAAUCCCGUCCACCGAUUGACUAAGGUUUCCAGAGGAAGGCUCGUCCGCUCUGGGUUAGUCGGGUCCUAAGCUGAGGCCGACAGGCGUAGGCGAUGGAUAACAGGUUGAUAUUCCUGUACCACCUAUAAUCGUUUUAAUCGAUGGGGGGACGCAGUAGGAUAGGCGAAGCGUGCGAUUGGAUUGCACGUCUAAGCAGUAAGGCUGAGUAUUAGGCAAAUCCGGUACUCGUUAAGGCUGAGCUGUGAUGGGGAGAAGACAUUGUGUCUUCGAGUCGUUGAUUUCACACUGCCGAGAAAAGCCUCUAGAUAGAAAAUAGGUGCCCGUACCGCAAACCGACACAGGUAGUCAAGAUGAGAAUUCUAAGGUGAGCGAGCGAACUCUCGUUAAGGAACUCGGCAAAAUGACCCCGUAACUUCGGGAGAAGGGGUGCUCUUUAGGGUUAACGCCCAGAAGAGCCGCAGUGAAUAGGCCCAAGCGACUGUUUAUCAAAAACACAGGUCUCUGCUAAACCGUAAGGUGAUGUAUAGGGGCUGACGCCUGCCCGGUGCUGGAAGGUUAAGAGGAGUGGUUAGCUUCUGCGAAGCUACGAAUCGAAGCCCCAGUAAACGGCGGCCGUAACUAUAACGGUCCUAAGGUAGCGAAAUUCCUUGUCGGGUAAGUUCCGACCCGCACGAAAGGCGUAACGAUUUGGGCACUGUCUCAACGAGAGACUCGGUGAAAUCAUAGUACCUGUGAAGAUGCAGGUUACCCGCGACAGGACGGAAAGACCCCGUGGAGCUUUACUGUAGCCUGAUAUUGAAAUUCGGCACAGCUUGUACAGGAUAGGUAGGAGCCUUUGAAACGUGAGCGCUAGCUUACGUGGAGGCGCUGGUGGGAUACUACCCUAGCUGUGUUGGCUUUCUAACCCGCACCACUUAUCGUGGUGGGAGACAGUGUCAGGCGGGCAGUUUGACUGGGGCGGUCGCCUCCUAAAAGGUAACGGAGGCGCUCAAAGGUUCCCUCAGAAUGGUUGGAAAUCAUUCAUAGAGUGUAAAGGCAUAAGGGAGCUUGACUGCGAGACCUACAAGUCGAGCAGGGUCGAAAGACGGACUUAGUGAUCCGGUGGUUCCGCAUGGAAGGGCCAUCGCUCAACGGAUAAAAGCUACCCCGGGGAUAACAGGCUUAUCUCCCCCAAGAGUUCACAUCGACGGGGAGGUUUGGCACCUCGAUGUCGGCUCAUCGCAUCCUGGGGCUGUAGUCGGUCCCAAGGGUUGGGCUGUUCGCCCAUUAAAGCGGUACGCGAGCUGGGUUCAGAACGUCGUGAGACAGUUCGGUCCCUAUCCGUCGUGGGCGUAGGAAAUUUGAGAGGAGCUGUCCUUAGUACGAGAGGACCGGGAUGGACAUACCUCUGGUGUACCAGUUGUCGUGCCAACGGCAUAGCUGGGUAGCUAUGUGUGGACGGGAUAAGUGCUGAAAGCAUCUAAGCAUGAAGCCCCCCUCAAGAUGAGAUUUCCCAACUUCGGUUAUAAGAUCCCUCAAAGAUGAUGAGGUUAAUAGGUUCGAGGUGGAAGCAUGGUGACAUGUGGAGCUGACGAAUACUAAUCGAUCGAAGACUUAAUCAA